GACGAACGCUGGCGGCGUGCUUAACACAUGCAAGUCGAACGGAGAUGCUCCAGCUUGCUGGCGUGGAUGAGUGGCGAACGGGGGAGUAACACGUGAGCAACCCGCCCCAGACUCUGGGAGAUGCGCUGGAAACGGCGUCUAAUACUGGAUACAAAACUUGCCCCCAUGGGGUUGGUUUGGGAAGUAUUUCUGUUUUGGAUGGGCUCGCGGCCUAUCAGCUUCUUUGUGAGGUAAUGGCUCACCAAGGCGACGACGGGUAGCCCGCCUGAGAGGGGGACCGGGCACACUGUGACUGAGACACGGCGCAGACUGCUACGGGAGGCAGCAGGGGGGAAUAUUGCGCAGUGGGCGAAAGCGAGUUGCAGCGGCGCCGCGUGAGUGAUGACGGGCUUCGGGUUGUAAACCUCUGUGAGCAGGGCAGAGGCGAAAGUGACGGUACCUACAGAAGAAGCACCGGCUAACUACGUG
rnacentral:rRNA from 1 species